rnacentral:rRNA from 1 species
UUCUGGCUCAGGAUGAACGCUAGCGACAGGCUUAACACAUGCAAGUCGAGGGGCAGCAUAAAAGUAGCAAUACUUGGUGGCGACCGGCGCACGGGUGAGUAACGCGUAUGCAACCUACCUAUCAGAGGGGAAUAACCCGGCGAAAGUCGGACUAAUACCGCAUAAAACAGGGACACCGCAUGGUGAUAUUUGUUAAAGAAAUUCGCUGAUAGAUGGGCAUGCGUUCCAUUAGGUAGUUGGUGAGGUAACGGCUCACCAAGCCGACGAUGGAUAGGGGAACUGAGAGGUUGGUCCCCCACACUGGUACUGAGACACGGACCAGACUCCUACGGGAGGCAGCAGUGAGGAAUAUUGGUCAAUGGGCGAGAGCCUGAACCAGCCAAGUCGCGUGAAGGAAGAAGGAUCUAUGGUUCGUAAACUUCUUUUGCAGGGGAAUAAAGUGCAGGACGUGUCCUGUUUUGUAUGUACCCUGAGAAUAAGGAUCGGCUAACUCCGUGCCAGCCGCCGC